rnacentral:lncRNA from 1 species
ACAUGAAUUCUGGAAUCUCGCAAGUCUUCCAGAGGGAACUCAGCUGCCCCAUCUGCAUGAACUACUUCAUAGACCCAGUCACCAUAGACUGUGGGCACAGCUUUUGCAGGCCCUGUUUCUACCUCAACUGGCAAGACAUCCCAGUUGUUACUCAGUGCUUUGAAUGCAUAAAGACAACACAGCAGAGAAACCUCAAAACUAACAUUUGACUGAAGAAGAUGGCUUCCCUUGCCAGAAAAGCCAGUCUCUGGCUAUUCCUGAGCUCUGAAGAGCAAAUGUGUGGCACUCACAGGGAGACAAAGAAGAUGUUCUGUGAAGUGGACAAGAGUCUGCUCUGUUUGCUCUGCUCCAGCUCUCAGGAGCACCGGGAUCACAGACACUGUCCCAUUGAGUGGGCUGCUGAGGAGGAGAAGCUCCUAAAGAAAAUGCAGUCUUUAUGGGGAAAAGCUUGUGAAAAUCACAGAAACCUGAACAUGAAAACCACCGGAUUAUGUGAGUUUAAGGAUAGAAGUAAUCAGAGCUGAAUAUCAGAAGAUGCCUGCAUUUCUCCAUGAAGAAGAGCAACAUCACUUGGACAGGCUGCAAAAGCAGGGCAAGGACAUUUUUCAGCAACUCAAUGACAGCAAAGCCAGAAUGGAACAUGCGAGGGAGAUUUUAAGAGGAAUGUAUUAGGAGCUGAAGAAAAUGUGCCAUAAAGCAGAUGUGGAGCUACUCGCUUUUGGAGACAUAUGCAGGGGUGAGUCCCUGCUGCUGCAAGUGCCCAAGCCUGUGAGCUCAGUGCAGGGCCCAUCACUGGACUGCUGGACAGUCUCAAUGGAUUCAGAAGUUGAUAUUACUCCGCAUCCUGAAAGAGCCAAUAGUCAUAUCUUCCUGUAUGGAGACUUAAGAAGCAUGAAUGUUGGAUGUGACCCUCAAGAUGGUCCCCGCAUCAUGGCAACAUCUGAAUGUUUUCCUGAGUAGAGCGCUCAGACUUUCACAUCUGGCAAAUAUUAUUGGGAGGUUCAUGUGGGGGACUCUUGGAAUUGGGCUUUUGGUGUCUGUAACAAUUAUUGGAAAGAGAAGAGACAGAAUGACAAGAUAGAUGGAGAGGAGGGACUCUUUCUUCUUGGAUGUGUUAAGGAGGACGUUCACUGCAGGCUCUUUACCACACCCCACAUGUGGUGCUAUAUGUUCCAAGGCCUAGCAGCCGAGGAGGAUUAUUCCUGGAUUGUGAAGGUAGAACCAUGAGCAUUGUUGAUGUUGAUCAAAGUUCCCUUAUAUACACCAUCCAUAAUUGCUCCUUCUCACCUCUUCUCAGGCCUAUCUUUCACUGUAGUCACC